rnacentral:rRNA from 1 species
AGCGAACGCUGGCGGCAGGCCUAACACAUGCAAGUCGAACGAACUCUUCGGAGUUAGUGGCGGACGGGUGAGUAACACGUGGGAACGUGCCUUUAGGUUCGGAAUAACUCAGGGAAACUUGUGCUAAUACCGAAUGUGCCCUUCGGGGGAAAGAUUUAUCGCCUUUAGAGCGGCCCGCGUCUGAUUAGCUAGUUGGUGAGGUAAAGGCUCACCAAGGCGACGAUCAGUAGCUGGUCUGAGAGGAUGAUCAGCCACAUUGGGACUGAGACACGGCCCAAACUCCUACGGGAGGCAGCAGUGGGGAAUCUUGCGCAAUGGGCGAAAGCCUGACGCAGCCAUGCCGCGUGAAUGAUGAAGGUCUUAGGAUUGUAAAAUUCUUUCAGUAGGGACGAUAAUGACGGUACCUACAGAAGAAGCCCCGGCUAACUUCGUGCCAGCCGCCGCAGUAA